rnacentral:rRNA from 1 species
CGACUUACCAACCCUUUGCAAACUCCGAAUACCAGUAAGUACUAUCCGGGAGACACACGGCGGGUGCUAACGUCCGUCGUGGAGAGGGAAACAACCCAGACCGCCAGCUAAGGUCCCAAAGUAUUGCUAAGUGGGAAACGAUGUGGGAAGGCUCAGACAGCUAGGAUGUUGGCUUAGAAGCAGCCAUCAUUUAAAGAAAGCGUAAUAGCUCACUAGUCGAGUCGGCCUGCGCGGAAGAUGUAACGGGGCUAAGCAAUACACCGAAGCUGCGGCAAUGUCUUUUAGACAUUGGGUAGGGGAGCGUUCUGUAAGCCGUUGAAGGUGAAUCGUAAGGUUUGCUGGAGGUAUCAGAAGUGCGAAUGCUGACAUGAGUAACGACAAAGGGGGUGAAAAACCUCCUCGCCGGAAGACCAAGGGUUCCUGUCCAACGUUAAUCGGGGGCAGGGUGAGUCGACCCCUAAGGUGAGGCCGAAAGGCGUAAUCGAUGGGAAACGGGUUAAUAUUCCCGUACUUCUGACUAUUGCGAUGGGGGGACGGAGAAGGCUAGGUGGGCCAGGCGACGGUUGUCCUGGUUCAAGUGCGUAGGCUUGAGAGUUAGGUAAAUCCGGCUCUCUCUAAGGCUGAGACACGACGUCGAGCUACUACGGUAGUGAAGUCAUUGAUGCCAUGCUUCCAGGAAAAGCCUCUAAGCUUCAGAUAGUCAGGAAUCGUACCCCAAACCGACACAGGUGGUCGGGUAGAGAAUACCAAGGCGCUUGAGAGAACUCGGGUGAAGGAACUAGGCAAAAUGGUACCGUAACUUCGGGAGAAGGUACGCUCUUGAUGGUGAAGUCCCUCGCGGAUGGAGCUGACGAGAGUCGCAGAUACCAGGUGGCUGCAACUGUUUAUUAAAAACACAGCACUGUGCAAAAUCGCAAGAUGACGUAUACGGUGUGACGCCUGCCCGGUGCCGGAAGGUUAAUUGAUGGGGUUAGCGCAAGCGAAGCUCUUGAUCGAAGCCCCGGUAAACGGCGGCCGUAACUAUAACGGUCCUAAGGUAGCGAAAUUCCUUGUCGGGUAAGUUCCGACCUGCACGAAUGGCGUAAUGAUGGCCACGCUGUCUCCACCCGAGACUCAGUGAAAUUGAAAUCGCUGUGAAGAUGCAGUGUACCCGCGGCUAGACGGAAAGACCCCGUGAACCUUUACUACAGCUUGGCACUGAACAUUGAACCUACAUGUGUAGGAUAGGUGGGAGGCUAUGAAGACGUGACGCCAGUUGCGUUGGAGCCGUCCUUGAAAUACCACCCUUGUAUGUUUGAUGUUCUAACUUAGACCCAUUAUCUGGGUUGAGGACAGUGCCUGGUGGGUAGUUUGACUGGGGCGGUCUCCUCCCAAAGAGUAACGGAGGAGCACGAAGGUGGGCUAAUCACGGUUGGACAUCGUGAGGUUAGUGCAAUGGCAUAAGCCCGCUUAACUGCGAGAAUGACGGUUCGAGCAGGUGCGAAAGCAGGUCAUAGUGAUCCGGUGGUUCUGUAUGGAAGGGCCAUCGCUCAACGGAUAAAAGGUACUCCGGGGAUAACAGGCUGAUACCGCCCAAGAGUUCAUAUCGACGGCGGUGUUUGGCACCUCGAUGUCGGCUCAUCACAUCCUGGGGCUGAAGUCGGUCCCAAGGGUAUGGCUGUUCGCCAUUUAAAGUGGUACGCGAGCUGGGUUUAGAACGUCGUGAGACAGUUCGGUCCCUAUCUGCCGUGGGCGUUGGAAGAUUGAAGGGGGCUGCUCCUAGUACGAGAGGACCGGAGUGGACGAACCUCUGGUGUUCGGGUUGUGUCGCCAGACGCAUUGCCCGGUAGCUAAGUUCGGAAUUGAUAAGCGCUGAAAGCAUCUAAGCGCGAAGCGAGCCCUGAGAUGAGUCUUCCCUGACAGUUUAACUGUCCUAAAGGGUUGUUCGAGACUAGAACGUUGAUAGGCAGGGUGUGUAAGCGUUGUGAGGCGUUGAGCUAACCUGUACUAAUUGCCCGUGAGGCUUAACCA